CUUAAGCGGAAUCGAGGCACCGUGGUCCAGGGGCCUCCAGAGUGUUCCAGGGUGGGGUUGGAAGCGACUCGCUUCCUCCUAGGAUCCUGCUCUUAAUCCUCCUCUUUCCAUGUACCAGGCCAGACCAGGGCGGGGGCGCAUAUGGAGGCGGAUCCCUGAGCCAAUUGCUCCCUGGAGGAGGAGAGGAGGAGGAGGCGGUGGCGGCAGAAGGCGAGCCCAGUAGCCGGCUGGCGGCAUGCGCUGGGCGGAACAAAGGACAGCUGAGCCCAGUUCCAGCAGGAGAUCGGGGGAAGGCAAGCAAAGCUCCGAGGGCCCCUUCCCUGGUUCUUCACGCGCCUUCUUUCUGCCCCCUAAUGUGAAGAUCGGCGUUCCCGUUUGGCGGAGCGUUUCUUUCUCUCGCCUCGUGCGCCCUGCUGGAUCGUGCCAGCCAGGCUCCUGCGCCCUUGCAGGCUGAGGAAGCCAACUCUUCCUCCUUCGGAAACAAGGAGCAGUUUGAUUCUUUACGGGCAAGCUCUCCAGAGGACCACAGGCAUAGCCUGGCGAGGGAGCUGCUUUGGCGGGCUUGCGGAAUGCUGCUGUUGUAACCAUCCUGGAGAGCGAAAGAGGAGGCUUUUUUCCUCUUGAAACUGGCUUGCUUUUGUGUGACCGCCUCUGGAUUUUUGGCUCCUCUCUGAAAUCUCAAGCAAGGCAGGGAUGUGAAGUCUGCCCCCUAACCCCACCCCGGCUUAGGAGUGGUAUUGUGGAAGGUCAACCCAUCUUACAUGGAAAUGCUCCGAAGCCAGCCUGGGACUGAGAGGGAAUCUGUGAAAGAUAAGCCGUUUCCUUCAUGUUUUCCUUCUCUCCACACCUCUCUGCAAACACGCUGCCGUGUCUCUCCUGGGAGCCUGGAA